CAAGGAAACAAAAAGUCAUUUGAAAUAAAGACUGUGACGAAGUCAUCCUCUAAAAACUGAAGUUACUGUCAAAAACUUUACCUGCAUUUAGUCUGGUACAGACUCUGCCUUUUUCACUAACCCGUUUCCUGUAACCCACUGUCUCUCUGCUUCUCUUUCUUCCUCAGAUCGACUGGGAGGAAACAAACUGCAUAGUGAACUGCAGUCUCCUCUUACACCAGAAGCCUCAUCCAUUCACUGGGAACAAUUUCUUCAGCUGGUUGACUGCUGGUGUUAUCUUUGGUUUAGUUUUUUUUGCCAUCGUCCUAAUCAUCGUCUUCGUCAAAUGCAGAAGAACAGGAUCUAAGAACGUGACUUCAAACACUCAGUAUCUUAGGACUGAGACAACAGAUGGUGGCUAUGUUUAGAUUAGCUUUGGUCUGAUACAGCCACUAAUUUACUACACAAUGAUUUCAUUAAUAAUAAUAAUAAUAAUAAUACGUUUAAAUAGUAAUAAUAAUGUUAAAUCUAGCUGCCUGGUUAGCUCAGUUGGUAGAGCAAGAGACUUAAUCUCUCGGGGUCG